rnacentral:rRNA from 1 species
UACGAAGGGGGCUAGCGUUGUUCGGAAUUACUGGGCGUAAAGGGCGCGUAGGCGGCGUGUCAAGUCAGGCGUGAAAGCCCCGGGCUCAACCUGGGAACCGCGCUUGAGACUGGCAUGCUCGAGUUCGGGAGAGGAUGGUGGAAUUCCCAGUGUAGAGGUGAAAUUCGUAGAUAUUGGGAAGAACACCUAUGGCGAAGGCAGCUCUCUGGGACGGUACUGACGCUGAGACGCGAAAGCGUGGGGAGCAAACAGG